rnacentral:tRNA from 1 species
GCCCAGGUAGCUCAGUUGGUAGAGCACGCGCCUGAAAAGCGCGGUGUCGACGGUUCAAUUCCGCCCCUGGGCACCA